rnacentral:rRNA from 1 species
CAGCCGCCGCGGUAAUACGAAGGGGGCUAGCGUUGCUCGGAAUUACUGGGCGUAAAGGGCGCGUAGGCGGACAGUUCAGUCAGGGGUGAAAGCCCGGGGCUCAACCUCGGAAUUGCCUUUGAUACUGGCUGUCUUGAGUACGGGAGAGGUGUGUGGAACUCCGAGUGUAGAGGUGAAAUUCGUAGAUAUUCGGAAGAACACCAGUGGCGAAGGCGACACACUGGCCCGUUACUGACGCUGAUGCGCGAAAGCGUGGGGAGCAAACAGGAUUAGAUACCCCAGUAGUCCCUGUCUCUUAUAC